AGGAAGAGGGCUGGGUCUCACCUGGAGCCCUUGGGCUGCAGUUGAGGCUUCAGAGAGGGCUGGGAAGUCAUGAAUCGCUGGCCUGCUCCUCCCACAGUCUUCCCCAGCUGGAGCAAUGCUGUCCACUAAAUGCUACGAUGCCAUGAUCUCGAUCUGCACUGUCCAGAGGUGGCUGGGGGAACCACAAGCUACAGGCUGAGGGAGAGAAGAUCUGAGUCAGAGAGGAGUUCUGGAGAAACCAAGCGCAUCCCCCUCAACAUGAACUCCAGUCAAGAUUGGUCAGGUGCAGUGGCUUAUGCCUGUAAUCCCAGCUGAGGCAGGAGGAUCGCUUGAGCCCAGGAGUUUGAGACCAGCCUCGCCCACAUCUUCCAUCAGAGGAUCCCACGAAAACAGUGCCAAAGAGAAUUCAGAACUACGUCCACUGGUCCAGUAACCCAUGGUUCUGUGAUGUCUGUGAUCUCACCUGCUGCAGGCCUCCGGGCUCCGGGGAUUCUUGAGUCGGGGGAAGGAACAGCUUUGAGACGAG
rnacentral:lncRNA from 1 species